AAGGGGCGGGCGGCUGUGUGGUAAGACACUUCGGUAGGAGUAUUUAAGGUCGAGGCCUCGAAUCUAACGACAGUCUCUGCUUUCCGAUAUUCGGGUGCCAGGCGAAAUCCGCAUUCCUUAGGCUACGUCAGCUCCACCGGGCUCUCCUGCACAGUGUCCAUCUCCGCCAUGAACAGUGAAAGCCAACCGCGUGCCUCAGUUGAUUAGUGACCGUUUCAUCUCCUCAAGAAAAUGGUAUGGUGCCCGAACUGCGUCAGGGACUGUCGUGUAGACCGUGAUCAUGCUAGUGGAUACAUAUGUUGUUCUGAAUGCGGAAGAAUACACUAUCAAGAUGUCUUCACAGAUGAGCCCACAUUCGUCAAGGGACCAGGAGGAGAGAGCCGUUUGGCUGGCAGUUUUGUGAGGAGCAUUCAAAGCGAUUGUUCAGAAUCAUUUAAAAGAACAUUAGAGAAUGGAAGUAGGCAAAUUAAUGAUUUGAUGAUAAAACUGGAUAUCCCUGACGAGUCUUUAGGUGCACAAGCAGCUUCAUUUUAUCGGAUUGCAGUUGAGCGUAGUUUCACCAAAGGACGUAGAACUGCUCAUGUUGCAGCAGCUUGCCUCUACAUUGCUUGCAGGGCCAAUGACAAGCCAUAUUUACUUAUUGAUUUUUCCAUUUGGUUGAGUGUAAAUGUUUAUGUGUUGGGAGCUGUCUAUCUACAGCUUUGCAAAGUUUUGAACCUUGAAGAGCAUCCAUUUGUUCAGAAACCUAUUGAUCCUAGCCUUUUUAUGCAUCGAUUUACAAGUGCUUUAAUGAAAGGCGACUAUAAAAAUAAGGUUUGGAAGACAGCACUGCAAAUAGUUGCCAGCAUGAAGCGAGACUGGAUGCAGACAGGCAGAAAACCAAGUGGGAUAUGCGGUGCUGCAUUGUACAUCUCUGCACUUUCACAUGGGUGUAGUUACUCAAAGUCAGAAAUUGUGAAAAUUGUUCAUAUAUGUGAAGCAACACUGACCAAAAGGUUGGUUGAGUUUGAGAAUACAAAAUCUGGAAGCUUAACAAUUGAGGAAUUCAAUCAGAAUGCUGAAGAGUUUGAAAAGGAGAAUCAUUCAUCCACAUCACCAGAUGUAUACCUGCAGGAGUCUGGCAAAAAGGAAGUGCUUUGCCAACACAAAGGAAAAGAACCUCAUUUUGCUCAUGGGCUUUGCAGCAGCUGCUAUAAAGAUUUCAUUGAACUCUCUGGAGGACUUGAUGAAGGAUGUGAACCUCCAGCGUUCCAGGUUGCUGAAAGGGAUAGAUUAGCCCGAGCAUCUGCUGAGAAGGAAGGAAGCACUGAUCAGGCAAAUCAAGAUAGUUGUAACCAUGAGAAAGAAGCGGUGCCAGUGUCAGCAAGUGCUUCUGCCCCUCAGAAUCUGAACAAAGGUUGUGAUGACACAUUUAGCAAAGAUGAUGAUAUUCCACCUGUCACAGAUGAGACAGAUAACCUUUCUGAUAUUGAUGAUGUAGAGGUCAAUUCCUACCUUAAUAGUAAGGAAGAAAGCCACUAUAAGAAGAUUAUCUGGGAACAAAUGAAUAAGGAAUACGUUAAGGAACAAGCAGCUAAGGAAGCGGCUGCUGCUUUACGAGAUUGUGGUGAAGUUACAGAUGAUGUCCUUGCAGCACGGAAACUUGCAGCUGCAGCUGCUGCUGCUGUGGCAAAAUCAAGAGAUCAACAAAAACUGAAGAGAGCUGAAUCUAAAAAUGCUGGCCCAGCUCCAACUGCUGCUGAAGCAACCCGUCAGAUGCUGAUGAAAAAGGGGUUAAGUUCGAAAAUUAAUUAUGACGUUCUGGAGAAACUAUUUGAUGAGAGUAUCAGUAUUGAGUCAAGUUUUAGGAAACGGGUUCACUUUGAAUUCAACCUAUGCCGAGUCUAGUUGAGCUACGUCGAACAAUCUCAAAACGAACCAACUGCAGUCGCAGGGCUGGAUAAUCUUUUUUCUGAUUAGUCGCCUCCAAGCACCAAAAAGCCUCGUAUGGAACCUCCCCGCAAUGACCACAAUGCCUCUGGAAAAUAUGCAAACAAGAAGGAUAAUGAAGCAGAAUGAACAAUGUUAAUAAGCAGGAGCUGAACGAGGAUUAUAUGGAAGAUGAUAUUACCAUAGAAGUAGAUGAAGAGCAGGAUCAAAAUGAGGAAGAAAUGUUCUAUGGUGAUGAAGAUGAUAAUGAUAAUUUUGAUGAAGAUUGAUUUUUUUUUUUUAUAGCAUCUUCAUAGUUUUAAAGGAAAAGAACGUGAUUCUUGUAAAAUUUUCAAUGCAUUCUUAAAUAUCCUCUCUUUCAAAACGAGUUCUCUCUUCCUUCUCCCUAGAAAAACUCUCUAAUCAAAAAUUUCUUCAACUUUUCUACGGGAGAGAGAUCGGAUUUAGUUGAUCUUUCCCACACGAAAGGAGCAUAUCUUUAGUUUCU